UUGUUUAGUAUAAUCUACUUUGUUUUUCAGUUUUGAAGCAUUCUGAGACAAAUAUUCUGGAAGUUUCUGUAAAUUAAUAAAAAGGUCCAGUUUUAAUAUUCUUUCAUUGUUAGUUAAGCUUAACAGAGAAUUAACCUUACAAUGAAAUUUUAUAGUAACUUUCAUUUUUUAGUAGGUCUCUUGAGCAGACCUAGGAAAGUGCAUCUAAACCAAUAAAACCUGAUUCAAGAGCUUAUGGGCUUAUUUGCAUCCUGGCCAGAACAUCAAUCAAUAGCUUUCAUUUUGUUUAAAGGCCAGGGGCCAAAUUAGAGUUUGAAAAGUCCUUGUAAAACCUUUGGGUAAUUUUGAGAUUGAGUCUAAUGAAAGAUUAAUGAAUACAGGCAUCCAUUUCCAGCCCAUCUAUUUACAUAUGACUUCCACCUUCAGUCCUGCUGAGUGGCAAUCAAAGUGAAUCAGUUUGUUUCUGCAGAUAGUGCUGACUAGCUAAGAAUAGCUUGUACUGCCAUAGCAGCCAUUAUAAUUCUUUUCUAUGGGAUAUUAGGAGUCUGUAAAGUCAAAUGGGUCAAGGUCUGGCUGCAACGGGGGCCAUUAAAAUCUGGUUUUUUACCAUCUACCAGAAAAUUGACUGUAGUAUUGAAGUAUUUCCCAUUUUGAGUACAGGGAUUAUAGUUAAUAUCAUGUUGUAACAAACAUUCACAGGUAAUGGAUCCUCAAGCUGAAGUUUAGAUUAAAUUUCCGUAAUAAACAGAAGAGCUUGUUUGGAUACAUGAUUUUUCUUUCAGUGACCAUUGCAAGACUGAGCAAUAAAAAUAGGCCUCACAGAGUUUGUUUUAGUGAAAUGUGGGUGCUAAAAUAGUUAUGUUUAUGUAGCUUUAGCUUUUUAUCCAGUUAUUUGUUCAGUAAAGGAAAAAUAGGUUCAUUUCCAUUGCUGAUCCAUUCUUUACUUUUAUGAAACACUUUUAAAAAAAAGCCAGGAACAAUUCAAAGCACGCCCACUCCCCAGUUCUAUAGCAAGCCUGAAAGUUAGUCUGUUGCUCCCAUAUGCAAGGCAGGAAUGUCUUAGAAAGAUCUGGUUCUGUUUGCAAAAGAAUAGAGAUGUCUUUAUUUAAUGAAAGUCAUUAUACAUUCCUUCUUGCUAUAAGUAUACUAUGAAAUUUGUGUUUUGCAUACAUUAUGCAGCACUGAAGUUAACUUAGGCUUCAUGGAAGUUUGCCUAUCAGGGCACAUCUUCACUCACCACACCAGAGAUUGACAUACUGUCAUUUGAUUUAGUGGGUCUAGUACAGACCUAUAAAUCAAAUGCUGACGGCAGCGCCAGCCAGCAUCUGUACUACUUUCAGUUGCUAGGAGUAAGAGAAGCCAAUGAGAACAUGUUCUCUCCUCAACCACUUGUUGUGUAUUCUACAUAGAUGGAGUUGCGUACCUUAAGCCAAACUUCUAGGUCUAGUGUAGAUCUGGCCUCAGUUUCUUCCAAUAAAUUCUUUUGUGGGGUAGGUGAUAUUUUACAAGACACUGGCUACAGAAACCAGUGGGGAACUCUUGUUUGGGUUAUUGACCCCAGUAAUGUUGUUUUUUAAAUUUCCAAUAGCAUUUCAAUAAUAAAUAUUCCUUCUUCCGGAGUCAUUGUAUUUUUAAAAUGAUAAGUGUCACUAAGUGUCCAGAACAUAUGCUCCUCCCCUUCGAAAGUCUAAACAAAAAAAAUACAUGCCUAUUUUGUCCCCCGCACUUUCACCAAAGUGUUUAUAAGUGCAUCUAAAGUGUUAUGGGAUUAUUUGUUUUAUUUCAGGCUGGCUACCGAACAUGUAAUGCGUCUUGUUGUUAAUGGAAUGUUGUGAUUAAUGGAGGUGGUGAAUAAACUUUUCUGGACAUUCAAGCCAUUCAGUUAACUAAAGUAUUUUCUCAGUAGUUAAUUCUUGAGACCUAACCUUAAUCGUCUUGCCUGUAAGGGUUAAAACUAUUAAUAGUGGGUCCUAGAGAAUCGCCAAAAAUGCUAGGGAAGCAGGAAGUGAUUUGGCAGGAGGCCAGAAGAGCCAAUGGAAACAGAGUGUGAACAUUUUAAUUAGAAGCAGUGUCCCUUCCUGUUCCUGUUUGGCUAGAGCAGAGCCUCCUGGAAGGACUGGUGAGGAACCAUGCAUGGAGAAUCCAGUGACAUCCAUGCCUAAGGAAAGACUGAGUCUUGAAACUAGAGAUAGACCUGCAGCAAGAAAGAACACAGGAUGAACAUUUCAAAGAUUGUGGAGCUGCUGUCCCAGCAGAUAAUUUCCCUAGAUUCCCCAGGAGAAACUCAGGGGAAUAGUGCUGAAGAAUGACAUGGAAUAAGGUGAGAUGAAAGAUGGAAAGAAAAGACAGUCGAAUGGUAAGAAGAUGAGAAAGCAAGAGGACGGUUGAAGAGACAAAGAUCCAGUCCAUGGGCAGCUACAUGAGUUUAACUAUAGGUGUGAUAUUAAAUCACCACAAUCAUGUAUGGAUGCUUUUAAGUCAGUUUAAGAAUGGGGUAUGGUAGUUUAGAUUAAAUAAAUUUAAAAUAUUUAAUCUAACUUCGUUUUCGACCUUCUUAAAUUCAGGGGUGCUCCAAUUUAAGUAAACAAGUUUCUAAACCAAUUUAUUUAAAUCAGUGUACAACCUGCAUAUAGACAAGACUGAAGUUAAUCACAGUGCUGUUUUUAGUAAGGUAGAAUUCUUUCAUUAUUUAUUAUAUCAGUGGUGGGCAAAUACCAAUGCUUCUGCAAGUACAGGCAGUGCAGUUCCUGUUGGCCAUGGAUUGCAGUUCCUGGCCAAUGGGAGCUACUGGAAGUGGUUUCCCAGUCCAGACUGCUUCCUGCAGCUCCUGUUGGAUGGAAGCAAUGAUCUGUCUGUACCUGUGGAAGCACAGAUAAAUAUAGUGAGGGCUGCCCACCAGAAGCUAACCCUGGAGAAAUAUUAC